rnacentral:rRNA from 1 species
UACGGGGGGAGCAAGCGUUGUUCGGAUUUACUGGGCGUAAAGGGCGCGUAGGCGGCGCAACAAGUCACUUGUGAAAUCUCCGGGCUUAACCCGGAGCGGCCAAGUGAUACUGUCGGGCUAGAGUGCGGAAGAGGCGAGUGGAAUUCCUGGUGUAGCGGUGAAAUGCGCAGAUAUCAGGAAGAACACCCGUGGCGAAGGCGGCUCUCUGGGACGGUACUGACGCUGAGACGCGAAAGCGUGGGGAGCGAACAGG